rnacentral:ncRNA from 1 species
ACCUCUGGAGAAUCCCGAGCAAACCGGGUGCCGAAGGGGCAAGGUGGAACAGCGAUGGCUUGCAGCUAUCGGCAGACAUUGCUGAUAGCCGGAAAUGCAGCAAAGCUUUCCGCUGAAACUCUCAGGCAAAAGGACAGAGGC